CCAAAAGUUUUUUAUUUUUAAUAUUCUUUAAAUAUUUUAAACUUAAAUAUAUUUUUUAUUUAUUUUUAGAUGUAAUAAUUGCCCACAGCGAAUCACAAUUUUAAUAUCUAAUCUAAUCUAAUCUAAUAUUUACUCUUGAUUUACUCCGAUUUAACUAUUGUGUUGUAAAAGGAAUAGUCCACAUUUAUAAAGUGCUCACGUCACCAUUGAAAAAGUUAAUUUUGAAUCUAAAUUCGAUUUUAUUUGUAACAAUUUUGUAUUAGACUAUUAAUUUGUUCAUGAUAGUUUGUAAAAUAAGUUUGUAUCCCUUGCAUGUUGCGUUAUUUACUAAUUUAAUGUAUGUGACUUUUGUAAUGGAUAUUAAUGUAAG
rnacentral:lncRNA from 1 species